ensembl:Y_RNA Y_RNA Y RNA
GGCUGGAAUGAUGGUAGUGGGUUAUCAGUAGUUGUUUCACUAAAGCUGGUAUACAACACCCCACUCCUAAAAUUGUCUGGCUUUUU